rnacentral:lncRNA from 1 species
UUUUUGUUGGUACAUUUAUUUCCUACUAAUCAACGACAUCUAGGGAUGUCAAUGGGUGUAUGGAUAUCCAAAAUUUUAUUCGAAUCCGAAUUCGAAUGAAACGAUAUAUCCGAUGAAUAUGAAUAUGAAUUCGGAUAUGAAUAUAAAAAAUAAAAAUCCGACGGAUAUGAAUUCGGAUAUAGAUUUUGAUUGUACCAGAUCCGAAUCCGAACCCGAUCCGAACACGAAUUUAUUUUGUAUUUUAUAUAUAUAUAUAUAUAUAUAUAUAUAUAUAUAUAUAUAUAUAUAUAUAUAUAUAUAUAUAUAUUUGAUGUUAUAUUUGAAUUUGUAUUUUAAAAUUUUAGAUUUAAUAUAAUAUAUUUUGAAAUAUUGAAAAAAGAAAUAAUUUUUUUGGGUUCAAAUUUUUGAGUUCGGGUUCGGGUUCGGAUUUCGAAUUUUUGGUCAGGUUCGGGUUUGGAUAUGGAUUUUUAAAAUCCGUCUUGUUCGGGUUCGGAUUCGGGUCUCAGGUUUGGAGUCAGGUUCGGGUUUGGAUUUUUAAAAAUCCGCCUCGAAUCCCACUCGUUGACAUCUCUAACGACAUUAUGCAACCUGGCUCGUCGUUACUCAACGCCGCUCUCUUUACCCUACAAAAAAUGCUCGAAAAUUAAUUAAGUACUGUUUGGUUCGGAUAUAAGCAAGAACUAACUAUUACAGGAAUAGAUACAAAUAUGGGAUAAGAAAAAGAGUGUUUGAAUGAAAAUUAGGUUGUUCCCGGAAUAAGAAUAAUUUUAGAUAGUUUUAUAUAGAAAAUGGAGGUGUCGGUCGGGUUACGCGAGAACAGUAGUUCUCGAUUACUUAUAAUAAUUGAUUAUAAUUAUUCCCAUCAACACCUCCAUUUUCUAUAUAAAACUAUCUAAUAUUUUUCUUAUUCCAUAUUAUCUAUCUAAACGCUAUUUUUUUUAUCUCCGGAAACAACCCAAUUUUUAUCCAAACGCUAUUUUUCUUAUCUCCAUAUUUGUACCUAUCUCUAUAAUAAUUAGUUCUUGUUUAUAACCAAACCAAAUGGAAAUUAGGAAAGAAUAUUCAUGUCGGUCAUUAUUUGAAU